rnacentral:rRNA from 1 species
AAAUCCGGUUGAUCCUGCCGGAGGCUACCGCUAUUGGAGUUCGAUUAAGCCAUGCGAGUCGCGAGUCCUAGGGACUCGGCGUACCGCUCAGUAACACGUGGGUAACCUGCCCUAUGCAGGGGGAUAACCUCGGGAAACUGAGAAUAAUACCCCAUAGUUCACUACGCCUGGAACGGUGAGUGGAUGAAAGCUCCGGCGGCAUAGGAUGGGCCUGCGGCGUAUCAGGUUGUAGGGGGUGUAACGUACCCUCUAGCCCUCUACGCGUACGGGUGUUGGGAGACAUAGCCCGGAGAUGGAUUCUGAGACACGAAUCCAGACCCUACGGGGUGCAGCAGGCGCGAAAACUUGACAAUGCGAGAAAUCGUGAUCAGGGAACUCC